rnacentral:rRNA from 1 species
AUUGAACGCUGGCGGCAUGCCUUACACAUGCAAGUCGAACGGCAGCGGGGACUUCGGUCCGCCGACGAGUGGCGACCGGGUGAGUAAUGUAUCGGAACGUACCUUUCAGUGGGGGAUAACGUAGCGAAAGUUACGCUAAUACCGCAUAUUCUCUGAGGAGGAAAGCAGGGGACCUUCGGGCCUCGUGCUGAUGGAGCGGCCGAUAUCAGAUUAGCUAGUUGGUGAGGUAAAGGCUCACCAAGGCGACGAUCUGUAGCGGGUCUGAGAGGAUGAUCCGCCACACUGGGACUGAGACACGGCCCAGACUCCUACGGGAGGCAGCAGUGGGGAAUUUUGGACAAUGGGGGCAACCCUGAUCCAGCCAUGCCGCGUGAGUGAAGAAGGCCUUCGGGUUGUAAAGCUCUUUCGGCCGGGAAGAAAUCGCAUAGGUUAAUACCCUGUGUGGAUGACGGUACCGGAAUAAGAAGCACCGGCUAACUACGUACCAGCAGCCGCCGUAAGAC